UUUUUAUGCCCCACCUACGAUAGUAGAGGGGCAUUAUGUUUUCUGGUCUGUGCGUUUGUCCGUCCGUCUGUCCGUUCGUUCGUCCGUCCGUCUGUCCGUUCGUCCGUCCGUCUGUCCCGCUUCAGGUUAAAGUUUUUGGUCGAGGUAGUUUUUUUUGAUGAAGUUGAAGUCCAAUCGACUUCAAACUUGGUACACAUGUUCCCUAUGAUAUGAUCUUUCUAAUUUUAAUGCCAAAUUAGAGAUUUUACCCCAAUUUCACGGUCCACUGAACAUAGAAAAUGAUAGUGCGAGUGGGGCAUUCGUGUACUGAGGACACAUUCUUGUUUAAUAA
rnacentral:lncRNA from 1 species